GACGAACGCUGGCGGCGUGCUUAACACAUGCAAGUCGAACGGAAAGGCCCUGCUUGCAGGGUACUCGAGUGGUGAACGGGUGAGUAACACGUGGGUGAUCUGCCCUGCACUUCGGGAUAAGCCUGGGAAACUGGGUCUAAUACCGGAUAGGAGCCAUUUUGAGUGUGAUGGUUGGAAAGUUUUUUCGGUGUAGGAUGAGCUCGCGGCCUAUCAGCUUGUUGGUGGGGUAAUGGCCUACCAAGGCGGCGACGGGUAGCCGGCCUGAGAGGGUGGACGGCCACAUUGGGACUGAGAUACGGCCCAGACUCCUACGGGAGGCAGCAGUGGGGAAUAUUGCACAAUGGGCGCAAGCCUGAUGCAGCGACGCCGCGUGGGGGAUGACGGCCUUCGGGUUGUAAACUCCUUUCGCUAGGGACGAAGCUUUUUGUGACGGUACCUAGAUAAGAAGCACCGGCUAACUACGUG
rnacentral:rRNA from 1 species